AGCGAAUGCUGGCGGCAGGCCUAACACAUGCAAGUCGAACGGAUCCUUCGGGAUUAGUGGCGGACGGGUGAGUAACACGUGGGAACGUGCCCUUUGGUUCGGAACAACUCAGGGAAACUUGAGCUAAAUACCGGAUGUGCCCUUCGGGGGAAAGAUUUAUCGCCAUUGGAGCGGCCCGCGCCUGAUUAGCUAGUUGGUGAGGUAAAGGCUCACCAAGGCGACGAUCAGUAGCUGGUCUGAGAGGAUGAUCAGCCACAUUGGGACUGAGACACGGCCCAAACUCCUACGGGAGGCAGCAGUGGGGAAUCUUGCGCAAUGGGCGAAAGCCUGACGCAGCCAUGCCGCGUGAAUGACGAAGGUCUUAGGAUUGUAAAAUUCUUUCGCCGGGGACGAUAAUGACGGUACCCGGAGAAGAAGCCCCGGCUAACUUCGUGCCAGCAGCCGCCGUAAGAC
rnacentral:rRNA from 1 species